GAUGAACGCUGGCGGCGUGCCUAAUACAUGCAAGUCGAGCGAACAGACGCGGAGCUUGCUCCUCUGACGUUAGCGGCGGACGGGUGAGUAACACGUGGAUACCCUACCUAUAAGACUGGGAUCACUUCGGGAAACCGGAGCUAAUACCGGAUAAUCUAUUGAACCGCAUGGUUCAAUAGUGAAAGACGGUUUUGCUGUCACUUAUAGAUGGAUCCGCGCCGCAUUAGCUAGUUGGUAAGGUAACGGCUUACCAAGGCAACGAUGCGUAGCCGACGUGAGAGGGUGAUCGGCCACACUGGAAGUGAGACACGGUCCAGACUCCUACGGGAGGCAGCAGUAGGGAAUCUUCCGCAAUGGGCGAAAGCCUGACGGAGCAGGGCCGCGUGAGUGAUGAAGGUCUUCGGAUCGUAAAACUCUGUUAUUAGGGAAGAACAAAUGUGGAAGUAACUAUGCACGUCGUGACGGUACCUAAUCAGAAAGCCACGGCUAACUACGUG
rnacentral:rRNA from 1 species